GUCCCUGCAGCACAAUGGAUAGUGCGUUGGACUUCAAAUCCAAAGGUCAUGGGUUUGAACCCCACCUGGGAUG
rnacentral:tRNA from 1 species